GAUGAACGCUGACAGAAUGCUUAACACAUGCAAGUCGAUGGGGAAGUGGUGCUUGCACCAUGGUAACCAUGGCGGACGGGUGAGUAACGCGUAAGGAACUUGCCUGCGGGACUGGGAUAACAGCAGGAAACUGCUGAUAAUACCGGAUAAGGUCAUUAAGCUGCAUAGCUUAGUGAUGAAAGGAGACGCCUGCGGAGAGCCUUGUGUCCUAUUAGCUAGUUGGAGGGGUAACGGCCCACCAAGGCGAAGAUAGGUAGCCGGCCUGAGAGGGUGGACGGCCACAAGGGGACUGAGAUACGGCCCUUACUCCUACGGGAGGCAGCAGUGGGGAAUAUUGGACAAUGGGGGCAACCCUGAUCCAGCAAUUCUGUGUGCACGAAGACGGUUUUCGGAUUGUAAAGUGCUUUCAGCAGGGAAGAAGGAAGUGACGGUACCUGCAGAAGAAGCGACGGCUAAAUACGUG
rnacentral:rRNA from 1 species